CAGCGACGCCGCGUGGGGGAUGACGGUCUUCGGAUUGUAAACCCCUUUCAGUAGGGACGAAGCGCAAGUGACGGUACCUGCAGAAGAAGCACCGGCUAACUACGUGCCAGCAGCCGCGGUAAUACGUAGGGUGCGAGCGUUGUCCGGAAUUACUGGGCGUAAAGAGCUCGUAGGCGGUUUGUCACGUCGUCUGUGAAAUCCCUCGGCUUAACCGGGGGCGUGCAGGCGAUACGGGCAGACUUGAGUACUACAGGGGAGACUGGAAUUCCUGGUGUAGCGGUGAAAUGCGCAGAUAUCAGGAGGAACACCGGUGGCGAAGGCGGGUCUCUGGGUAGUAACUGACGCUGAGGAGCGAAAGCAUGGGUAGCGAACAGGAUUAGAUACCCUGGUAGUCCAUGCCGUAAACGGUGGGCGCUAGGUGUGGGGUCCUUCCACGGACUCCGUGCCGUAGCUAACGCAUUAAGCGCCCCGCCUG
rnacentral:rRNA from 1 species